UACGUAGGAUGCAAGCGUUGUCCGGAAUUAUUGGGCGUAAAGGGCGCGUAGGCGGCUCUGCACGUUCGUUGUGAAAUCGCCCGGCUCAACUGGGCGGGGUCAGCGGAUACGGCAGAGCUUGAGCAAGCUAGGGGGCAAUGGAAUUCCCGGUGUAGUGGUGGAAUGCGUAGAUAUCGGGAGGAACACCAGUGGCGAAGGCGGUUGCCUGGGGCUUUGCUGACGCUGAUGCGCGAAAGCGUGGGGAGCGAUCCGG
rnacentral:rRNA from 1 species